rnacentral:Y_RNA from 1 species
GGCUGGUCUGAGUGCAGUGGUGUUUACAAUUAAUUGAUCACAGCCAGUUACAGAUUUCUUUGUUUCUUCUCCACUCCCACUACUUCACUUGACUCACCUUAC